AACGAACGCUGGCGGCAGGCCUAACACAUGCAAGUCGAGCGCCCAGCAAUGGGAGCGGCAGACGGGUGAGUAACACGUGGGAACCUUCCCUAUAGUACGGAAUAGCCCAGGGAAACUUGGAGUAAUACCGGAUAAGCCCUGAGGGGGAAAGAUUUAUCGCCAAAAGAGCAGCCCGCGUUAGAUUAGGUAGUUGGUGGGGGUAAAGGCCUACCAAGCCUGCGAUCUAUAGCUGGUCUGAGAGGAUGAUCAGCCACACUGGGACUGAGACACGGCCCAGACUCCUACGGGAGGCAGCAGUGGGGAAUACUGGACAAUGGGGGAAACCCUGAUCCAGCAAUGCCGCGUGAGUGAUGAAGGCCUUCGGGUUGUAAAGCUCUUUUGUCUAGGGACGAUGAUGACGGUACCUGACGAAUAAGCUCCGGCUAACUUCGUGCCAGCAGCCGCG
rnacentral:rRNA from 1 species